GACGAACGCUGGCUGCGUGCUUAACACAUGCAAGUCGAACGCUGAAGCCCGAAGCUUGCUUCGGGUGGAUGAGUGGCGGACGGGUGAGUAACACGUGAGUAACCUGCCCCUGAUUUCGGGAUAAGCCUGGGAAACCGGGUCUAAUACCGGAUACGACGAACCCACGCAUGAGGGUUGGUGGAAAGUUUUUCGAUCGGGGAUGGGCUCGCGGCCUAUCAGCUUGUUGGUGGGGUAAUGGCCUACCAAGGCGACGACGGGUAGCCGGGCUGGGAGGGCGACCGGCCAAACUGGGACGGAAACACGGCCCAGACUCCUACGGGAGGCAGCAAUGGGGAAUAUUGAACAAUGGGGGAAACCCUGAUGCGGCGACGCAGCGUGCGGGAUGACGGCCUUCGGGUUAUAAACCGCUUUCAGCAGGGAAGAAGCGAAAGUGACGGUACCUGCAGAAGAAGUACCGGCUAACUACGUGCCAGCCGCCGCAGUAA
rnacentral:rRNA from 1 species